CCGUGUUCAGUUUGCUCUGAGCCUCCCUCUGCUGGGGCCUCAUCAUUGGCUUGUUCACCCUAUAUGCGAAUCACCUUCUGUCUGGAAACCCCAAAAUAGUAGGAGACUGUAUUUUAAAGAUUCAAUUGAAGGAAAUCUCUUGGAACUCCAAUCCUUGCUAUUCAGAGAAGAGGAUGUGAGCUGUGCUCUGAGUCCCCUCACACUCAGCUGAGUGAAGCACGCUUCGAUGCAGAACAUCCUCUAUAAUGCCAACGUGUCGAGCUAGUGAAAUAAUAUACAAUGUUUACAUCACCUUACUUCCUUAUUCCCAGGUGAUAAAGCCAAAGAUCAAAAGAGAUUUGAUGACUUGCCCAAGGUCACACAGCACACUAGGAUCUGUCUGACCCCCAAGAUUCAAGAAAUAAGGACACCAGCUGGAAGAACCAGACUUCUCAGAUGCUUCACACCUUGAUCAAAACCUGGGAAAAGCAGCUCUUAAGUGACUCCACACCUUUUCUCUUCCCUGGCAUACAAUCAACUUCUCACAAACUAUAGCAAAGGCAUUUCAAUGAAAUAACCAGAUUUCUAGUAAAAUUUAUGAUUUUCUGUCCUUUAACUUUUUCUUCUUUUGAUUUAUCUUUUAUAUAAUCUUUUCCCUUCCUUCUUUUCUUCCUUUCACCCUCCCUUCUCUCUUUCUUCUUGUGUACAAAUUAAUUCCUUCCUAGUGCUUUUGUAUUGUAAGUAUUUUGUUUUAUUACCUUUCCUUUUCCAUUGUUCAUGGUGCUAGGUCUCUGUUUAUGAUUCUGAACUUAGGGUCCUUUAUCCUCUUCUCUCUCAUCACACUCCUCCACAGAGAAUCCCUAUGCCCCUGGUCUUGUAUGAGGUAUAAAGCACUUGUCAAUUUGGGCUUAAACAAUAUCUCACCCAUGAGGAAGUUCACCUGUAAGAAGACUCCAGAGGGGUUUCAUUCACACACAAACCCUGAAUUUUCUCCAUCACUGUGCCCAAAAGCUUUUAUGCAAGUCAAGUCUCCCCAUGGUCGCCAUGAAGGGGGCAUGCCUCCUUGUUCAUGACUAGAGGGAGAAACUGAGUCCACACCUCCAUAUCCUUCUUCCUUGACUGCUUUUUUAAAAUCUUAUUUUCAACUUUCUGUUAAUUUUGAUUUUUCUCACUGUCUUUAAUUUAUUUACCUUCUAUUUCACUUUUCCUAGUUCCAUAAUAUUCCA